CGUAAUUAGAUCGUAACCUGGGGCUUUCUUCGGAUUAAUUUCUUUUUUUAUCGUCUGCUGUACUUCCCUUACAGUCGUGUUAGGAAUAAUGUAUUCUUCUUCCUGAUAAUGAAUUUGUUCGAGUGGUUCUGCACCUGGAGUUGGUACGUUGGGACUGAAUAUGUUUCCAAGAUAUUCAGAGAAUAAAAUUGCUUUGGAGUUGCUGUCUCGUAUCCAUUGUCCAUUUGUAUUUCUCAGUGGAGGAGCUUGGAGUAUUGGUCUUUUGUGUGCUUUAGUGGCUCUCCAUAGCGAAUAAUCAGUGCUAGCGUCACUAGAAAGUUCACUAAGAAAGUUUUUCAUUGAUUCUCUCUUGUGUUCUUGUAUUUCAUUUCUAAGUUUUUUGGUUUGCUGGUUUAACACAGCUUUAUCGCUUGGAGCGCGAGUGCGUUGCCAUCUACUUCUUGCUCUUCUCUUUUCCUUGACAAGGUCCUUGAUCUCUGUGGGGUAG
rnacentral:lncRNA from 1 species